rnacentral:lncRNA from 1 species
GAGGAGAGCAAGGUAUCUCCACUAACUGGCGUACAUCCUUUAACCAUCGUGACCUUCCGCUUCCCAUCUGCAAAAUGGGCGCUCUGCUCUGCAGCCGAGAGUUUCCCGGUGUUAACAAUUUGGACAGUGGUUCCCAGUUUUCUGAGGCGGAGGUGUCUGGGGAUGAAGAAUGACGUUUCAGGAGGAAAGCACGGCUUGCCAAGCGGUGCCAUGUCCGCACCUGGACCCAAAUUGGUGAACCUGGGCCGUCCAAGCAGAACGUGGGAACUUAACCACUGCGCCACCAGGCCUGCCCCUAGCACAAUGCUUUUGAGAGUCAUCCAUGUGUUUGUGUAUCAGUAGCUCCCUCCUUAUCGUUGGUGAGUAGUAUUUCGUUGUAUGCCUAUACCAUAAGCUGUUUAUCCAUUUGGACAUUGGUGGGGGGCCUGGGGAGUGACCCAGUUGGGCUGGUGGGGAGGGAUCCUCUCAGGACCCCAAAAGAG